rnacentral:rRNA from 1 species
AGUGAACGCUGGCGGUAGGCCUAACACAUGCAAGUCGAACGGCAGCACAGUAAGAGCUUGCUCUUACGGGUGGCGAGUGGCGGACGGGUGAGGAAUACAUCGGAAUCUACUUUUUCGUGGGGGAUAACGUAGGGAAACUUACGCUAAUACCGCAUACGACCUACGGGUGAAAGCAGGGGAUCUUCGGACCUUGCGCGAUUGAAUGAGCCGAUGUCGGAUUAGCUAGUUGGCGGGGUAAAGGCCCACCAAGGCGACGAUCCGUAGCUGGUCUGAGAGGAUGAUCGGCCACACUGGAACUGAGACACGGUCCAGGCUCCUGCGGGAGGCAGCAGUGGGGAAUAUUGGACAAUAGGCGCAAGCCUGAUCCAGCCAUACCGCGUGGGUGAAGGAGGCCUUCGGGUUGUAAAGCCCUUUUGUUGGGAAAGAAAAGCAGCAGGUUAAUACCCCGCUGUUCUGACGGUACCCAAAGAAUAAGCACCGGCUAACUUCGUG